rnacentral:rRNA from 1 species
GAUGAACGCUGGCGGCGUGCCUAAUACAUGCAAGUCGAGCGAACGGACGAGAAGCUUGCUUCUCUGAUGCUAGCGGCGGACGGGUGAGUAACACGUGGAUAACCUACCUAUAAGACUGGGAUAACUUCGGGAAACCGUAGCUAAUACCGGAUAAUAUUUUGAACCGCAUGGUUCAAAAGUGAAAGACGGUCUUGCUGUCACUUAUAGAUGGAUCCGCGCUGCAUUAGCUAGUUGGUAAGGUAACGGCUUACCAAGGCAACGAUGCAUAGCCGACCUGAGAGGGUGAUCGGCCACACGGGAACUGAGACACGGUCCAGACUCCUACGGGAGGAAGCAGUAGGGAAUCUUGCGCAAAGGGCGAAAGCCUGACGGAGCAACGCCGCGUGAGUGAUGAAGGUCCUCGGAUCGUAAAACUCUGUUAUUAGGGAAGAACAUAUGUGUAAGUAACUGUGCACAUCUUGACGGUACCUAAUCAGAAAGCCACGGCUAACUACGUG